rnacentral:lncRNA from 1 species
GUGAGUCUUAGCUUCUCUCUGCAUCUGUGAGGUCAUCUCCCUUUCUGUAGAGCAUAUGAUCUUUACUGAUGCACCUGCAUCUGGCUCAGACUUAGUCACCCAGCCCUGAAAUUAUAUCAUAUCACAGGUCAUUCUCUGAGUCUCUUAAUGUGAGGCCUUGAGAGAAAAAUCAACAUGCCUUCUGUUGGAUGAAGACCAAUCAGCAAGAUGGUGGUGAUUGUGGUACAGGUCUGUAACAAUGCAAAAGUCAGAACUGGUUGAAAUGUAAAAUUCAGUCCCCUUUUUAUAGAGUCGUUGCAAGGAUCAAGUGAGUUGAAAUCCGUAAGGUGCUUGGGAGAAUGCCUGGCGCCUGGAAGCACUGUAUAUUCCAAAAAAGGAGAUAUAAACAUGACCAUAAAAGACAUGAAAAGAUGUUUAACCCCAUUAGUCAUCGUGGAAAUGCAAAUGAAAACCACCAUACAGACACUAGAGUGGUUUAAAUUUGAAUGACUUCCAACACCAAAUGCCAGACAGGACAUAGAGCAACUGGAUGUCUCAUGCUCACAGGCAGAAGGGAAAACUACUGUGUGUGACAGGAAGAUGGACUUACCCAACCUUCAGCAUUCUCAAUCUCUUGUCUAUUAACAUGUGUUUGAAACAUUAUGCAUUCAAAGCAAACAUCUGGGAGGAAGAUGGGAGAAGCCUUCUUGCCCCUGUUCUACAGAAGUAAUUGAAGUUCAUGACAUUCAAGCUCAUUCACCAGUAAAUGAAUUUGGGUCAUGCUUUAUGUCUGUUGUAAAUACAGUGAAAAUUUGCCUCUGUU